UUUAUGUUUCAAAUAAUUUAUUGCCGUAGGAUGGGACUGCGGCCUAUCAGUUUGUUGGUGAGGUAAUGGCCCACCAAGACUAUUACAGGUACGGGCUCUGAGAGGAGUAGCCCGGAGAUGGGUACUGAGACACGGACCCAGGCCCUAUGGGGCGCAGCAGGCGAGAAAACUUUGCAAUGUGCGAAAGCACGACAAGGUUAAUCCGAGUGGUUUCUGCUAAAGGGACCUUUUGUCAGUCCUAGAAACACUGAUGAAUAAGGGGUGGGCAAGUUCUGGUGUCAGCCGCCGCGGUAAAACCAGCACCUCAAGUGGUCAGGAUGAUUAUUGGGCCUAAAGCAUCCGUAGCCUGCUUUGUAAGUUUUCGGUUAAAUCCAUACGCUCAACGUAUGGGCUGCCGGGAAUACUGCAAAGCUAGGGAGUGGGAGAGGUAGACGGUACUCGGUAGGAAGGGGUAAAAUCCUUUGAUCUAUUGAUGACCACCUGUGGCGAAGGCGGUCUACCAGAACACGUCCGACGGUGAGGGAUGAAAGCUGGGGGAGCAAACCGGAUUAGAUACCC
rnacentral:rRNA from 1 species